rnacentral:tRNA from 1 species
GAUAAAGUGGCUGAGUAAUAGGCGGCAGAUUGUAAAUCUGUAAACGAAUAUAGUGUUCCUUUAUUA